rnacentral:rRNA from 1 species
CCUACGGGCGGCAGCAGUGAGGAAUAUUGGUCAAUGGCCGGAAGGCUGAACCAGCCAAGCCGCGUGAAGGACGAAGGUGCCAAGCAUUGUAAACUUCUUUUGUCAAGGGACAAAAUCAGGCUCGAGAGCCUGACCGAGGGUACUUGAAGAAAAAGCAUCGGCUAACCCCGUGCCAGCGGCCGCGGUAAUACGGAGGAUGCGAGGGUUAUCCGGAUUUAUUGGGUUUAAAGGGUGCGUAGGGGGGCUGUUAAGGCAGCGGUAAAAGCCCGGGGCUAAACCUCGGCGAGCCGUUGAAACUGGGUGUCUUGAGAGGUCGAGAGGUAGGCGGAAUGCGCAGUGUAGCGGUGAAAUGCUUAGAUAUUGCGCAGAACUCCGAUUGCGAAGGCAGCAUACCGGCGGCGAUCUGACGCUGAGGCACGAAAGCGUGGGUAUCGAACAGGAUUAGAUACCCGUGUAGUC